GGGACACGUGGUAUCCUGUCUGAAUAUGGGGGGACCAUCCUCCAAGGCUAAAUACUCCUGACUGACCGAUAGUGAACCAGUACCGUGAGGGAAAGGCGAAAAGAACCCCGGCGAGGGGAGUGAAAAAGAACCUGAAACCGUGUACGUACAAGCAGUGGGAGCCUCUUAAUGGGGUGACUGCGUACCUUUUGUAUAAUGGGUCAGCGACUUAUAUUCUGUAGCAAGGUUAACCGAAUAGGGGAGCCGAAGGGAAACCGAGUCUUAACUGGGCGUUAAGUUGCAGGGUAUAGACCCGAAACCCGGUGAUCUAGCCAUGGGCAGGUUGAAGGUUGGGUAACACUAACUGGAGGACCGAACCGACUAAUGUUGAAAAAUUAGCGGAUGACUUGUGGCUGGGGGUGAAAGGCCAAUCAAACCGGGAGAUAGCUGGUUCUCCCCGAAAGCUAUUUAGGUAGCGCCUCGUGAAUUCAUCUCCGGGGGUAGAGCACUGUUUCGGCAAGGGGGUCAUCCCGACUUACCAACCCGAUGCAAACUGCGAAUACCGGAGAAUGUUAUCACGGGAGACACACGGCGGGUGCUAACGUCCGUCGUGAAGAGGGAAACAACCCAGACCGCCAGCUAAGGUCCCAAAGUCAUGGUUAAGUGGGAAACGAUGUGGGAAGGCCCAGACAGCCAGGAUGUUGGCUUAGAAGCAGCCAUCAUUUAAAGAAAGCGUAAUAGCUCACUGGUCGAGUCGGCCUGCGCGGAAGAUGUAACGGGGCUAAACCAUGCACCGAAGCUGCGGCAGCGACACUAUGUGUUGUUGGGUAGGGGAGCGUUCUGUAAGCCUGUGAAGGUGGCCUGUGAGGGUUGCUGGAGGUAUCAGAAGUGCGAAUGCUGACAUAAGUAACGAUAAAGCGGGUGAAAAGCCCGCUCGCCGGAAGACCAAGGGUUCCUGUCCAACGUUAAUCGGGGCAGGGUGAGUCGACCCCUAAGGCGAGGCCGAAAGGCGUAGUCGAUGGGAAACAGGUUAAUAUUCCUGUACUUGGUGUUACUGCGAAGGGGGGACGGAGAAGGCUAUGUUGGCCGGGCGACGGUUGUCCCGGUUUAAGCGUGUAGGCUGGUUUUCCAGGCAAAUCCGGAAAACCAAGGCUGAGGCGUGAUGACGAGGCACUACGGUGCUGAAGCGACAAAUGCCCUGCUUCCAGGAAAAGCCUCUAAGCAUCAGGUAACAUCAAAUCGUACCCCAAACCGACACAGGUGGUCAGGUAGAGAAUACCAAGGCGCUUGAGAGAACUCGGGUGAAGGAACUAGGCAAAAUGGUGCCGUAACUUCGGGAGAAGGCACGCUGAUAUGUAGGUGAAGCGACUUGCUCGUGGAGCUGAAAUCAGUCGAAGAUACCAGCUGGCUGCAACUGUUUAUUAAAAACACAGCACUGUGCAAACACGAAAGUGGACGUAUACGGUGUGACGCCUGCCCGGUGCCGGAAGGUUAAUUGAUGGGGUUAGCGGUAACGCGAAGCUCUUGAUCGAAGCCCCGGUAAACGGCGGCCGUAACUAUAACGGUCCUAAGGUAGCGAAAUUCCUUGUCGGGUAAGUUCCGACCUGCACGAAUGGCGUAAUGAUGGCCAGGCUGUCUCCACCCGAGACUCAGUGAAAUUGAACUCGCUGUGAAGAUGCAGUGUACCCGCGGCAAGACGGAAAGACCCCGUGAACCUUUACUAUAGCUUGACACUGAACAUUGAGCCUUGAUGUGUAGGAUAGGUGGGAGGCUUUGAAGUGUGGACGCCAGUCUGCAUGGAGCCGACCUUGAAAUACCACCCUUUAAUGUUUGAUGUUCUAACGUUGGCCCGUAAUCCGGGUUGCGGACAGUGUCUGGUGGGUAGUUUGACUGGGGCGGUCUCCUCCUAAAGAGUAACGGAGGAGCACGAAGGUUGGCUAAUCCUGGUCGGACAUCAGGAGGUUAGUGCAAUGGCAUAAGCCAGCUUGACUGCGAGCGUGACGGCGCGAGCAGGUGCGAAAGCAGGUCAUAGUGAUCCGGUGGUUCUGAAUGGAAGGGCCAUCGCUCAACGGAUAAAAGGUACUCCGGGGAUAACAGGCUGAUACCGCCCAAGAGUUCAUAUCGACGGCGGUGUUUGGCACCUCGAUGUCGGCUCAUCACAUCCUGGGGCUGAAGUAGGUCCCAAGGGUAUGGCUGUUCGCCAUUUAAAGUGGUACGCGAGCUGGGUUUAGAACGUCGUGAGACAGUUCGGUCCCUAUCUGCCGUGGGCGCUGGAGAACUGAGGGGGGCUGCUCCUAGUACGAGAGGACCGGAGUGGACGCAUCACUGGUGUUCGGGUUGUCAUGCCAAUGGCACUGCCCGGUAGCUAAAUGCGGAAGAGAUAAGUGCUGAAAGCAUCUAAGCACGAAACUUGCCCCGAGAUGAGUUCUCCCUGACUCCUUGAGGGUCCUGAAGGAACGUUGAAGACGACGACGUUGAUAGGCCGGGUGUGUAAGCGCAGCGAUGCGUUGAGCUAACCGGUACUAAUGAACCGUGAGGCUUAACCUUACAACGCCGAAG
rnacentral:rRNA from 1 species